rnacentral:SRP_RNA from 1 species
UAGCAGGGAGGGUCGGGGUGUUAGCCGUACCCCAUUCCAGAAAUCGGCUUUACGCUGGGAUCAGUAACUGCUGGGUAAAUCUUUGGAUGGGAAGUUCCUACUUGCCUUGCGGAUAUGAUAUCACGCCGUGUCGGAUGGAUGUGAGCAGCAUGCUGCGCGAAGGUGAAGUCAUGACUGUAAAUCGUCGAAAUGGGUGAGGUCCGGGAGGGAGCAACCCUAAGGCGGCAUAUCCAUGCUAGCACGUCUACGUGUUUGAUCUUGUAGGGUUUGAGAUUGGGCAUUGCAUUUAAAGUGGUACCGGUAGGCUGCUA